GGAGUUCCAAGUGAUUUAUCAACCACCAACAUAAAAAGGUAAGAGGGAAAACAAAAAUUAAGUUCCAACAUAAUAUAUUUUGACAAAUUAAUUAAGCUACUUAUUACUUCAACUACAAAGUUUGGAGGAAACCAGCAUACAAAAAGAAAAACUGCAAUCCCCCGUGCGAUUUCUCUGGAAAGUGAAUAAUCUAUAGACGCAUCAGAAAGAUAUGGUACACGUGCCAUCAAAUAAUGGGGCAUUAAUUAAUGAAAAACAGGAAAAUGAAAUUAAAGUGCUACACUUAUCCAGCAACAUACUUCUACACCCUUACAGCAUCCGAACAAUAUAGUUAGUCGUUCCAGACGAGCAGUCUCCGAUUUAUAACUUCAGUAUGCAUGUGGUGUUGCAGACUGUAGCAGUAUCUGAUCUUUGUAAACUUCAGUAUGGAGCUUAUCCGGAAAAAUAUGAACAGAAAAUUUUGAGGAAACGGUGCCUCUUUCACCACCAGAGUUCGGCCUAUAAACAAAGCAGUUUAUGACUAUAAACUAUCUUCUUGUGAAAAGAGUACGUCAAAAUGUCACUAUUAAUGUACAACUGGCUCAUCCAGAAUUCCCAGCAACCUCUGCGGCACGCUGCCUCAUCAUUUCCAUCACAGCUGCCCUUCUUCGGGAAUCAGACUGCUGUUGCAGCCUUCUAAUGUGCUCAGUCAAAUCUCUGCAUCAAAACAUUGUAAAUAAAUUCAUAUGGUUUCUAGCACAAAACUAGGUUCAUAGUGAUGACACAGAGGUAUGGGGGAAAUUUCAAAGUCCCAAGGAUAAAAAUGAGAUAGGUGAACAAACCUGCAGCGCGGUACAGUGCAUUACAUAUACGCAUUAGCCCCAGUUUGGCCCUCAUUUUGGGAUAUGAAAAUGGAUGAAAUAGUAAUUUUUUGAAAAAUGAAUUGUUGAAAAAGAAAAAAAGGUUUUUUAUUUAUAUAUAAUAUUAUUUUAUGGAAUAUUAUGUGGUUAAAAAUCGAAGAGAAAAAAAUGAAAUGAAAUGGAAUUGAAAUUAAUGGGGGAGUCGGUAGAGCAUAUUUUAACUUCUUUGCUAAUUUCUUAAUGCCUCUCCCUCGAAUCUAAGUAUUUCAUUUUAUUUUUUGACAAAUAAAUCCAGUAAAGUAAACAAGCCAAAAAUAUUUAUUUAUUUUGUACUUACCCAAGUCACUGUCUUCUUGCAACUGCCAGGGAGAGUAAUAAUAAUUGUGAAAAAGACAGUCCUCUUGUGUGGCCGUAGAUAUUGAAAACUUCACCUGAAAGGGAGGCACUCAUUUAAUGACCUUGAAUUUAAUUUAGGAUCUUUAUAUUUGUGUACUCAUGAAUUUCUUCAUUUCUAUAGUUUGUAAAAAUUUAUAUAACCUUGCUACAUGUAUAUUAUGACGUAGUUGAAAUUACACUUUAAUUUAAGUUUCAAACAAUUUUUUCAUUCAAUUGACACUUGACAACAAUGUAAAUAUCAACCAAAGUGUCAAAAAUCAAUAUAAAAAUAGCAAAGUUCAAAUUUAUAUGGCCUUUCCCAACUACAUGCAUAUUAUAAGUUCCCCUAACCGACAACGAAAUGUUCGUACAUUAAUUGCCAAUUAAAGAACAUCAACUCAGAAAUAAAGAAUUGUCUUGUCAGUAUUGAAUUGAGCUUCUUCAAACGUAAACUCCAUAUUUUUUCAAGUUCAACAUUUAUGAUAGUAAGUAAUGUACAACGUUUUUCAAAUUUUAGUGACCAAAAUUCGACAUUUUCAACUUCAGUGAGCAAUCGAAAAUAUGAAUCUAAGUUCAGUGAUCAAAACUCGACAUUUUCAACUUCAGUGACCAAUCAAAGACAUGAAUCUAAGUUUAGUGACCAUUGUAACAAUUAAUUCAAAAAAUGAUUUCUUAUUUCUCCAAAGUUUGAUUGAUGAUUUCUGUUAAUUGAGAACAUAAUGAUGGAGAUUUAUGUUGUUGUUUUUAAAGGUUUAGGGACUCAGAAGUUCAGUCGUGCAAAAACUAAUGACUCAAGUCUAACUUUCGCGUUAUUUAAGGCAAGCGGCCAAGUCCACUGCAACAUGUACAAUAGAAUCAAGAACUUGCCUCGCCGACCCACAAACUAAACUGACGCCAAAUGAAUGGCUACUAUCAACUCUCAUUAAUUACUAUCAUAAAAGCUUUACUUGACUAUCCAACAUACAAAAUUAAAGUUUGAAUCUGAUUUCUUUGCCAUUAAAUGAUCCCCAACAAACUCCUUCCCCUCCACUUUGUUAGUUUCUCAUUUCUACUUAUUUCCAGUUCAGUAUAAAAGCUCGCUUAAUUUGUUUAUUGAGACAAAAAACAAAGACAAACAGAUGGAAUGUGUGUACUUACCAUGGUUGUUCUUGGCCCAGUUUUUGAUGUUAAUCAUCACUGGUGCAGCAAAAGUUCCAGCCAUUAUAGUGUUUGGAGAUUCAUCUGUUGAUGCUGGGAAUAAUAAUCAGAUUUCGACUAUGUUGAAGAGCAAUUUUAGGCCAUAUGGUCGAGAUUUCUUUGGUGGGAAAGCCACAGGGAGAUUCUCAAAUGGCCGUAUUCCUCCAGAUUUCAUUUCUGAAGGAUUUGGUCUUAGGCCAUUUGUGCCUGCUUAUUUAGAUCCCAUGUAUAAGAUUUCAGAUUUUGCUGCAGGCGUUUGCUUUGCUUCUGCUGGUACUGGUUUUGAUAACUCAACCUCUGCAGUACUUGUAAGUCUCCAGUUUUCAUUUCAGUUGCUACUUGCUUUAGUACAAUUUUUCUUUUCCUGCGUAUAGCCGAUCUCAGGCCUGAGCUUAAGACUCUCGUAACACCUCGUUUACCAACUGCCCGGAUACGGAAACAUAGACGGAAAUAAAUCGAGGUAUUGCAUGGUCGAUCUCAAAUUUAUUACUGUUUGAAUGCAGAAUGUUUUACCAGUUUGGAAGGAAGUGGAGUACUACAAGGAUUAUCAGAAAAAGCUCAAAGCCUAUGUGGGUGAAGAAAAGGCAAAGUUCAUAAUCAGUGAGGCCUUGUAUUUGAUUAGCAUGGGAACAAAUGACUUCCUAGAAAACUAUUACACACUUCCAGACAGACAAUCCCAGUACAGUGUGGAUCAGUACCAGGUUUUCCUCUUAGGACUCGCAGAAAAAUUUAUAAAGGAGAUAUAUGGUUUAGGAGCUAGAAAAAUGGCCUUAGCAGGUUUACCUCCAAUGGGGUGUCUGCCAUUGGAGAGGACAACAAAUUUCUUCAAUGGAAAUGGAGAGCGGUGCAAUGAUGGAUACAACACUGUGGCACUGCAUUUCAAUCAGAAACUGAGUGGUUUAGUGAACAAGUUGAACAAGGAAUUGCCUGGCAUAAGAAUGGUUUUAUCAAAUCCUUAUAAUAUGUUCGUGCAAAUCAUCAAGAAACCUUCAUUAUUUGGUAAGUUUUUCUUUAACUUAUUUUGUAUUGAGUAAUUUUAUUUAACAUCAGUCAGACCCCAUUAAUUAAUUAUUCAAUGCAUCCCAACUGCCUCGUAGAAUGUGAUACUACCUAGCAUUAUGUUUUUGCAUAGUACGGCGUAGGUGAUAGUCAUACCCACUAGGAUCUUGCUGCUCUGUCAGUGUGGGGUUGACCGAACCCCCACCGACUACUCACGUACAAGGAGAGGGGGAGUGGUGCAUUUUUGGGGUAUCAUUAAUGAGUUCCGGAUCCACCUCAUGUGAGUAACCUGUACAAAAUCUGAUAGAAUGAUUCGAUAGAAUAGUUUUAUCCAUUCACAUUAAGCCCCAUUUGGCAUGACCUUUAAAAAGGCCAAAGGGCUUUUGAGAUUCAAAACUAUUUUUGAAUUCGUUUGGCUAAUUUUAUGAAAGUGUUUUUUUCUAAUUAAAAAAGUUCUUAAAGAAAAUUGGUCUAACGAGACUUGAGCACUUUUAGAAUAGAUGAAGCUUUUUUUAAAAUUAGUUUUCAAAUAAAAAUAAAAGUAGUUUUCUCCAAAAACUUUUCUACAUAGACCGAAAGUAAAAGUAAAAAUCAUGCCAAAUGGACCUCUAAUUUAUUGUCCAAUACAUUAAAAAAUGAAUCUCAACCACCAUUUAAAUAGGUGCUAAGCACCUAUGUUGCUACAUAACAUUACUCUAGUGCUUUUAAAAUAUUAUGCCACCUUGUAUAUGAAAUCCUUAGAGAUGCUCAACCUAUUAAAAUACUGGUGGGAGACGCCUAUAUUUUAGUGAAUUCUACUAAAACUUGACUUAGGUAGAUUUAUAUUUAUACAAAUAUUUAAAAUCCAUUAAAAUCUGAGUCGAGGACAGCCCUAAAUGAAAAAUAAACAUACGUCUAAUGUGUAUAAUAUUUUAUAAGUUUCGAAAACCAAAACUUUGUCAACACAUCCCAUAUUUACCUCAUAUUAAUUGUAUUCUUAGUUACUUUUGUACAACUUACGAUAUCAUGGAAGAAAUAACACACAAAAAUUUCUUGACACGGUUGGUCGUGUCUCUUAUCACCUGUAUUACUGUACUUCUUGUGAUAUAUUUGCUCGCUUUUUAUUAAAAAAUAAAAAUAAAGAAAGAAAACCUGUCAUUCUUAAAGAUUGUGGCAAUUUAUGUAUGACAGGAUUUGACGUAGCAGCAGUGGCAUGUUGUUCGACAGGAAUGUUUGAGAUGGGAUACUUAUGUGAUCAAAUGAAUCCCUUUACAUGUUCAGAUGCAAGUAAGUAUGUAUUUUGGGAUUCUUUCCAUCCAACAGAGAAAACAAAUAAGAUCCUUUCUGAGUAUCUUCUCAAGAGUAGUCUGCGUCAGUUUUUGUAGUUUAAACUAUUUGUUUAUGGAAGGUUUUUUGUACGAUUAGGGUGUGAAUAUUUGUUUGUCUGUUCCUAUUUGUUUUAAGGUUUGUAUUGUAUGGCCGUGCGGGUAUGAUGUCUUCUAUUUUUACGAGUACCUUAUAACUUAUUUGUCGUGCUAGACAUUGUUCAAAUGUUGCUCUCCAUUUUAAAUAUAUUGAAGAUUUCUUUAUCGUUGAACAAUGAAUCUCAAGACACAUUUUUGUCCGACGCUUACUAAGAAACUAGUUCGUUUCACGUGCCAUGCACAUGAAGUAUAUUUACUCGAGCAAAUUUUGGUACUUGUUUUUUUGGGUUUGUAUGGACUAUGAUCUUGUAUGAUUACAUUCCCAAUCUAAUGUUACAUUUGUAUGAGUACUAUAAUUGCUUCUUGUCUUAGACAACCGUUAAGCCUCUAUUUGAACCCUCAUUAUAUAAAAACUUAUUUUCAAUCACACAUUCUUUCAAUAAAAUAAUAUUUCACGUACACCCAAAUUUUCUACCUUUUAACCGUGUUCUUCAACAAAUCGUUAUAUCGAAACUCUUUCUUUUAAAAAUGGAGUUCAAACAUACCCUAAAUAAUUCAAUCUAUUUUAACAUUAAGAUAAAAUUAUUGGUAGUAUAUUGUAAGGUUAGCAUUGCCAUUACUGUAACUCGGGAGGAACUCAACUUCGAGCUGAGGGACAAGCACACGGCUCUAAUUUGGAGGACUAACAAGUGCUCCAUAUAUCGAUAAAAUUAUUAGCGCACGGAGAACUUAAAUUCAUCGUUAAACAAGUGCACGAGGACUGCUCCACGUAUCUGACGUGGUGGCUCACACUGUCACGCAGAACUCGAGUCCGAGCCAUGGUAUAAGUUCAAUACUGGCAUCUGGACUUCUAUAGUUAUGCCUGUGGCCUUUAAUAUGAUCCAUUUUCCAUUCAUAUCAAGCAACAAAUCUCCAAGAUUCCAUCCAACUCUUCUACCAUUUGGGUCCGAUUCCGACUUCUUUCUCCUCCUCAAAUUGACAGGACCCUCUCUUGUAACUAUAGUGCGCUCGAGACAGGUUAUUGAAAUAAAUAUUGGCCUCGUUUGAUACACAUUAAUGUAAAAAUGAGAAUGAAAAAUAAAGCCGUUACGGGUCUCAUACAAAAAAUUAAAAAUCAAAUAUGAUGACUUGAUAUGAUGUAUAACGGUCAUAUUUUUAAUUUUAAUGGGCAAAUAAUGAGAAACAAACGGGAGCUAAUUAAGUGUAAGACCCACCAAUGGCUAACUGUAACGCUCCAAAUUUUCAUAACACCGGAACGUUACCAAAAAAAUAUUUUUCUUUACUUUACAUGUGAAAAUAUCAAAAUUAAAUUUUUUUUUAUAAGUAAUAACUACGGCAUUCAUAAAUUUAAAAUAAACAUAGCGAUUGUAUCUGGAAAAUAACAAUAAGAAUUUCUUUAAAUUAACAAACAAUUAUGAAGGCAGAAAGACUUAAUGGAAAAUUUAUUAUUUGUUACUACGAUUCACUUGGCGGCCUGCAUUACCGCCCUUCCACAAUUCCAAUUGACCCGAACUAACAUUAAAAAUUUGUAAAAGUGAGUAUUCGAAAACACUCAGUAAGAUACGUGCAGUUUCCAUAUACAUAUAUAUAACAAUAAAAAUUACAAUUCAUACCAUCUGAUCUUAUGGAGUAUAUCGGUAACUAAGCGACACACCCAUCUUAAAUCUUUUUAUUAUCCCGUAGGAUUUCAUAUCUCUUAAAAAAAAUGAAUGCCUACUGGCAAUUCAUGCAUUUUUUAUUGAACAUAAACGCAUAAGAAAACAAAGACACUUGUACUUAAAGUAUUUUACCUUUUUAGAAAAAUCUGAAGCACGUUCAAAAUCUUUUUUUUCUUUAAAAAUACGUGAUUAAAAUAUUCAAUGUACAGUUAAACCUCGAUAAAGUAAUACCCUCGGGACCGGAAAAAAAUAUUCAUUUAGCGAGAUUAUUUAUUUAUCGAUAAAUGAAUAAAUUAUUCAUUUAUCGAUAAAUAAAUAUUUAUUAUUUUGGAGAGAGCUUUUCAAAAUAAAAUAUGUACAUUGUAUGUGGUAAGAAAAAUCAAAAGACACUAAUCAAAGUAUUAUUUGAAUCUAGGGAAGCUCAAAAGUUUUAGUGAAAUUUAAUGUCUCUAAAAACUAAAUUCAUGUACAUAACAAAUGAAAAGAUUUAGUCUUUACCUAUAAAAGCUAGAUGUUUGGAAGACAUAUUCCAAACACAUACAAUAUUUUGUUUCCCCUCCAAUGUCUUCUCGUCAUUUGAAAGGAGUAAAAAAAUCAACUUUAAUCGAUAAAAUGAGGAGUGCAAUAUGUGAGCAUAAGAAAGAGAAUUCAACUAUUAGCCAAAAAGAUAUGCAAGCAUGGGUGCAACAAAAGUUUGAUUUGACUAUUAGUCAAUCAACAAUAUCGAACACUCUCAAAAGGGCGUCGAAAUAUUUGUCAAAUGAGAUGAAAAAUAGCGAUGUUAAAAGGCACAAAUCGGCAAAAUACCCUGAUUUAGAGAAAGUUUUGUAUGAGUGGUUUUUUCAAAUGAAAGAUAAAGUGAACAUGUCUGAAGAAAUUAUCCAAGGAAAAGCUAAAGUGCUUUUGCAAAAAAUGUAUGGUGAAACUAAUCCAGAAUUCAGCUUUUCUAGUGGAUGAUUAGAACGUUUCAAGGCAAGAUAUGGAAUCAAAUCUUAUCGACGUUUUGGUGAAAGUGGUUCAGUUAUCAUGGAGAACAUUGAAAAUGCUUUACCUGGAAUACGAUCAAAACUAGACCAGUUUCAGUUAAAGGAUAUUUACAAUAUGGAUGAAACUGGAUUAUUUUACCGAUGGGAAGCUGAUCAUUCACUUGCUACCAAGCAGCUCGAAGGAUGCAAAAAAGAUAAGGAGAGAAUUACUGUUGUUGUUUGUUGCAAUGGUGAUGGAUCUGACAAAGUACCAUUUUGGGUUAUUGGUAAGUAUGCAAAUCCUACAUGUUUUAAAAAUAUGAACAUGAACAAUCUUAAUUGCAAGUAUCGAUCCAACAAGAAAGCUUGGAUGACUGGCUUGCUUUUUCAAGAUUUUGUUGGUUGGUUUGAUAAGAGAAUGAAUGGCAGGAAGGUUCUCUUAAUAGUAGACAAUUGCCCAACUCAUCCAAAAGUAGUUGAAGGUUUGAGAAAUGUAUAGUUAUUUUUCUUACCUCCUAACACAACGUCUAGAUUCAACCAUGUGAUGCUGGGAUUAUUCGAGCAUUCAAAACUCAUUAUCGUUGUCGUUUUUAUUCUAGCAUCUUACAAAGCCUUGAGGUUGAAGCACCAAAUCCUGAAAAAAUUAAUAUUUUGAAUGCUAUUAAUUUUGCUAACAUGGUUUGAAAUUUUGAUGUGAAGACAACAACAAUUGCAAAUUGUUUUCGGCAUUGCAAGAUUUGGUCAGAAGAAAACAAUGUUCCCGGACCAGAAGUUGGUGAAUUAGAUGAAGGUAUCCAAGGAUUAAAUGAUGUCAUCUCUAAUUUACACUAUAGAAAUGUGAUAGAUGUUGAACAUCUUUUGAACUAUCCUAACGAGAAUGAUGCAGUUAUGGAAUCACCUACAAACGAAGAAAUUAUUCAAUCAGUAAUGAACAGUAAUGAUGAUGAGAAUGAUCCUGAACCAGAUGAUAGUAGCGUUGUCCCAAAUGUGUCGUCAAAAGAGGCAUUUCAAGCAAUAGUCACCUUAAGCAACUACUUGCUACAACACGAGCAAAAUAUUCCGGAAGUUGUAUAUGCUCUACAAAAAGUUAAGGAUGGGGUUCAUUUUGGUUGAGGUGGGAAGAAAAAAUAAUCAACUAUAGAUGUAUAUUUUCAAAAGGAAUGAUUACUGUACGAGUAUUGUUGAUUGAUUGAAAAAUUUUGGUCUAUAUAUAUAUAUUUUUUUCUCAAUGAAAUCCAGUAAUUAUUACUUUAUAUUUUUAUUGGGCCCUUAAGGAUUCAAUUUUUUUUUAUUACUUAAUGCAUUUAGCGAGGUUAUUACUUUAGUCCAUUGGCCCAAGUCGGGAUCGAAAGAAAUUAUUAUAUAGUCGAGGUUAUUACUUUAUCGAACAUUACUUUAUCGAGGUUUAACUGUAUGCAAACUUUAUUUCCAAUGCUACUCUCUCUCUCUCUCUCCCUUCCUUUCUCUCUCUCUUUCUUUCUUCUCUCUCUUCCUCUGUCUCUUUACUUACUGUAUGUGUAAAUUGAUGUGAGUAAAACUUUUUAUCAUGCCUAUAUAUAUGUGUAGGCUAGAAUAGAUGAACAAAAUUUUGAUUUGAUAGAGCCAAAUCUUGCAAUCAACGUCUACUCACAAUGUAAUUUAUUAUUAUCUUAUUCAACUACAAGAUAUCCACUAUCUCUAUCCAACCGUAUAUGGGUGUAUGGUGAAUUUUUUUAUAACUAGAAUAAUAGAAUAGUGAAAACAUGGGUCAUCCUAGGAAUCUCUAAAUCAAAACUAAUAAAUAAUGAUAAAAAUCCCACCUCACACUUUUUUUUUUUAAGAGAGAAAAAUGAAUUGACUUACAAUCUAUAUAAAAUUAUAUUUAUACUAUUUUUUUCAAUUGGGUCUAAUUUAAUGUGUUCUUAUCCAAAAUAAUUUUUUCUCAAGUCAAAGACUUCUAAUUAAUUACGAUCUAUCCAACGAAUACAAUAUUGAUAUACCUAUAAUUGCUCUAUCAAAAUCUAAUUUAUUUGACCUAGAUAAAAUAGGACUUUAUAUAAUAUACAAAAUAAAUAAAUUUUUAUAUGUAACAUUUUUUGGGUUGCUACACUAACAAUGAUACGAUAAGUUUGAACAUUAUCUGUAUAAUAUGAGAAAGUUAAUCAUUUUGAUUUACGUGCAUAAUAGGGUUAUCUAAUGAUUUACAUACAGAAGUGUCAAAAGGAGAGUUGUGAAUUUUUAUUUAUUUAUUAUUAUUUUUUGUAAAAAAAUUAAUUUGAUCCAAUCAUAUCUUACCAUAUCAUAUUUAUAUGAACCAUUAUAUAAACUCUUAUGUACAUGUAGUACAAUAUUUAUGUGAAUAAUAAGGCUACUAACAACCAUCCAAUGAAGUUGAAAUAAAUUUUGUUCAUCGGAGAUGGACAAUACAAUGGUAACGUCAUUAUCAUAUAGACCGAUGAUCAUUGCUGUGAACAUAAAUUGCCCAAAUAAAAUAUCUGAAAUAAUCGAGAACCACCUGCCCCUCUUUAACAAAUAUAAAGAAAAUAAGCAAGAUUAAACAUCUUUUUAGGCAAGUGUAUACGUAGGAAGUGGCCUAAGAGUGAACCUUACUCUAUUUCUUCGGUUUAAAAUGACUGCCUAUGCUUCCAUGGCAGCUUAAUACACUGAAUCAGAUAAAAGAUUAAAUUGUAUUAAAGAAGAAAAACACAGCAAAUUUAGUCAUAGUUAGUCCUACCCCAACAAACAUGUCAUCUAGGUUUAACUCUGGUCUUCACGGAGUUCCAAGUGAUUUAUCAACCACCAACAUAAAAAGGUAAGAGGGAAAACAAAAAUUAAGUUCCAACAUAAUAUAUUUUGACAAAUUAAUUAAGCUACUUAUUACUUCAACUACAAAGUUUGGAGGAAACCAGCAUACAAAAAGAAAAACUGCAAUCCCCCGUGCGAUUUCUCUGGAAAGUGAAUAAUCUAUAGACGCAUCAGAAAGAUAUGGUACACGUGCCAUCAAAUAAUGGGGCAUUAAUUAAUGAAAAACAGGAAAAUGAAAUUAAAGUGCUACACUUAUCCAGCAACAUACUUCUACACCCUUACAGCAUCCGAACAAUAUAGUUAGUCGUUCCAGACGAGCAGUCUCCGAUUUAUAACUUCAGUAUGCAUGUGGUGUUGCAGACUGUAGCAGUAUCUGAUCUUUGUAAACUUCAGUAUGGA
rnacentral:lncRNA from 1 species